rnacentral:tRNA from 1 species
AUAAAUAUAGUUUAUUAAAAAACAUUAUAUUUUCAUUAUAAAGAUAAUCUCCUUAUUUAUUUAUA